GUUGGAAAAUAAUAAUUUUGGAAAAGAAUUCCAUAGUAAUGCUAUUCCCCAAACUAACGGAAUUGCUUUUCCAUUUUUCAUUUGGUGGAAUUAUAAUUCCAUUCCACUACUUUGGAUAUCAAUAAAUUAUCUCUUUUCUCCUCCAGCCAUAGGCGAAGCCCCACAAACCCUAACCCUAGCAAACUGAAGAUUAAUCUGCCACCAGCCAUUGUUGUGACUGUCUUCUUCGAUCAUCUCUGCAAGUGACGGGUUCCUUGAUUGGUGGUAGCAUUGCCAGAGAGCUUCUAAGGCUACCGGAGAGUCCUUCGCCUUCCUCUCCGUGUUCUCGAGUUUGCUGUUCUUCUCGAGUUUGAAGUUCUUGCUAGUAGUUUUUGCAUCCAUAUGUGUCUAUGGCUUAUUGCAUGGUUCGGCACAUCUCUCGUUCUCACUCCCAAAUCCCAAUUCCAAAGCUAUCAACCCCUCACUACACAACCUUCUCACUUCCUCUCUCUCUCACUUUAUAUAUGUAUAUGACUUUACCACUGCUAUGAUAACUCCAAUACUCGAACCUUCACUUCUCAUUCUCCCUAACAUUCCAAAACCCCUUUCGUUUUCCACCUUCAAAACUCAUCAUUUUCUCUCCUAAACAACCCAUCAUCGACUUUCGCUUAAACUGAAUCCAUGGCUGCACUACCGUCCACCGUUGAUUCUGUAAACUCAAACGUGUCCCAGAUGAUGAGAAGGAUGAAUGGGCGAGACUUCUGAUUGAUGACUCUCUUUAGUACACAGCUCGGGAAAGAGUUAGAAAGAUCAUGUUUAUUCACUUUGAUCUAAAAUAAUUUGCAGAACAAUGUAUAUUGCCUUUGACAUUCAGUAGUAUACAAAUUAUAAUCUUUUGGAUC